AUGUUCCUUUCCUCUGUCAUGGAGAAAGUAUCAGCUGUUGAAACAAAAGCUCUCCUCAGUGGCCCAGCUUGUGCUGCAAAGCUUCUCCAACCUCCUAUUCCAUGUCCCACUACCUCCACUAGGUCGCCGGCACCCCUAAACCUCAGUUUUGUGAAACCACCAUCCACCAGCCAGUGCCCCAUUACUACCACUAGGCCCCCUGUACUACUUACCUCCACUGUCAAGGACCCACCACCUUCCACUCUGCAACCUGGUGCAGUGUGUGGAAACCCUUCAGCAUCCAUUCAACCUUCAUCCCCUUCCUUCCAGUCAGACAGGCAUGAAUCUCAAGAAAUAACACAUACAAUGACACUAUUUCUACUGGACCUUACAAAAACUCAUCAGCACCUUUAUUUUCGGAACAAAAUGGCAUUCUAUAAAAAAAAAAAAAAACUUAUUCUCACUAAAGGGCUACAACUUGUCAAGUGAGAAAAUUCGAAAAAAAAACUAGCAAACAUGUUAACUACUUAUAAGAGAGUGAAAGACAGGCGCCGUGCAACUGGGGAAGGGAAGAUCACCUGGGAGUACUAUACAGUAAGUUGAAGACUGCUUUACUUUGUUUCUGAAAUAACAUUGUCAUGUGUUACAAGACUGAAACAUUGGUCAUUUUCAUUUUACAUCCACCCCCACCAGCUAAUGGAUGAGUUAUUUGGGUCAUCGGGGAUCGGUACUGCACCACCUGGCACCAUUCACUCCACACCUCUGGGUUUGGAAGAGACCUCUUCCACAAGCAGGCCCACAACGUCUUCUCUUCAAGACCAGCCGGUAGGUGCUAGUAUGGAUGAACAGCCAGGAACUGCUACCAUACAAAAUGCAAACAUCACAAGAAGGCAAAGACGACCACAACCCUUACAAUUCCUGGACGCUUAUGAAGAGCAUGCAGAGAGAAGGACUGCUGUGCUUGAGUCCCUGGUAAGGCCAGAUCUGGAGAGAUGGCGGCGACUUAAGGAGAGGCGGAGAAGGUCCUUCGAAAAAAAGAUGGUGACCAGCUUGGGAACAAUUGUGGAGGAGCUAAAAAACAUGGGGAAAAGACAAGAGCAAAUUAUGCAUCUAUUACAGAACCCACAUGAACCCCAAUAAAAUUAUAAUCUAAAGAUGUUAUCUCUUUUGA
ensembl:lncRNA